rnacentral:rRNA from 1 species
UUCUUAUAGGAUUAAAAUUAUAAGUAAGGCCUGCUCUAUGAAUAUUCAAUAGCGGUUUUACCCUAAGGUAGCAUAAUCAUUAGCCUUUUAAUUAGAGGAUAGUAUGAAAGGUUGAACGUAAAUAUCUUGUCCUUGUUUUAUAAAAUCGAAAUUAGUUUAAAUAUAAAAAAAUCUUUAUUUACUUUAGGGACAAGAAGACCCCAUAAAGCUUUAUUAUUAGUCUAAAAUAUUUUAUUACUUAUAAUUUAAUUGGGGCAAUUCUACUUAUCUUAACUUAUAGAAAAAUUUAUUUGAUCCAUCAUUGAUGACCAUUUGAAUAAGUUACUUUGGGGAUAACAGCAUAAUUAAAAUUAGAAAGUCCUUAUUGAUAAUUUUGCUUAUGACCUCGAUGUUGGAUUAUAAUUCUAUUAAGUGCAGAAGCUUAUUAAGAAAGUCUGUUCGACUUUUGAAUAUAUACA